CGAGCUACAAGCUAUGAUUGUCCUGUCACUUUAUAUACAGCUAACUACAUCAGGAUCUGGGAUCAGAAAUGCAUGGUACAAAGUCUUUACAGGCUCAACAGUUAUCCAGGUCACAGGAAGUGGGUCAACCGAAGCUGACAGUCACAGAGCCAAUCAUGAAGCAUUCAGGCCGGCCCAGGGAAGCAUGAAAGCUGGGCCGCUGAAAAGAAGAUCCAGAGCAGACCAACUGUUGGCAACUCAACCUUGAAAGAUGAAGACAUGAUGAGUCAGCAGAGAGCCUGAUUAAACAACUCUCCUCUCAUAACUCCAGGAACAGAGCGGACAAGUGGGACACACGAUUGUGACCAGGAAACAUUGGGAUCUUUUAUCUCCUCGUGGCAAACCAACAUUCUUCACGCCCCUGGAAGCUCUCUGAUGACUCCGGCUAUCAGCGUCCACGUGGUUAGGAGAUGUUGGCAUCGUCUGAUGGUAUGAGGUCCCUUUGCUGAAUCCUGAACCAAGUGAAAGAAUGUAUUCUUUCUAACUGAAUGUCAUGUGGUUUAAUUCACAACACAAUUGAGCGG
ensembl:lncRNA